rnacentral:rRNA from 1 species
AUACGUAGGGGGCGAGCGUUGUCCGGAAUGAUUGGGCGUAAAGGGCGCGUAGGCGGCCCGGUAAGUCUGGAGUGAAAGUCCUGUUUUUAAGAUGGGAAUUGCUUUGGAUACUGUCGGGCUUGAGUGCAGGAGAGGUAAGUGGAAUUCCCAGUGUAGCGGUGAAAUGCGUAGAGAUUGGGAGGAACACCAGUGGCGAAGGCGACGUACUGGACUGUAACUGACGCUGAGGCGCGAAAGUGUGGGGAGCAAACAGGAUUAGAUACCCUGGUAGUCCACACUGUAAACGAUGAAUGCUAGGUGUAGGGGUAUCGACCCCUUCUGUGCCGCAGUCAACACAAUAAGCAUUCCGCCUGGGGAGUACGGCCGCAAGGUUGAAACUCAAAUGAAUUGACGGGG